UACAGAGGUGGCAAGCGUUGUUCGGAAUUACUGGGCGUAAAGGGCGCGUAGGCGGUUCGAUAAGUCCCGUGUGAAAUCCCUCGGCUCAACUGAGGAACUGCACGGGAAACUGACGGGCUUGAGUCCGGAAGAGGAGAGUGGAAUUCCUGGUGUAGCGGUGGAAUGCGCAGAUAUCAGGAGGAACACCAAUGCCGAAGGCAGCUCUCUGGUACGUGACUGACGCUGAGACGCGAAAGCGUGGGUAGCAAACAGG
rnacentral:rRNA from 1 species